GGAGCUAGCCAUGCAAACUACUGUCUGUUUUUCCCGCAAGGGUAGGCAUUCAGCGUAUACGGCUCAGUAUAUCGAUGAAAUGAACGAACCGCGUUCACUCAAGGGUGAUAACGACGGAAAAGCUGUUGCUAAUACCAUACACUCGUCGAGUGUUCGGGGGUCUCGCAUCCUCGUCCUCGGCUGGCCUGCCGAGCAAUUUAGCCCCGGGUUUGUGCGAUCGCUUCGGCACCGUACACCCGUCGCUGGAGUUGCGUCGGAAAGGCGUUGAAGGCAAAUUGCUGCCGUCUACGGAACGGUUAACUUGUUCGCUUUAUCACUGUCUGUUCACUCGGUCGUUUCUCAUUACGACCACCACGGGUGACGGAGGGUAAAAGCUCGAUGCCGGAGAGGUAGCCUUAGACACGGCUGCCACUUCUAAGGAAGGCAGCAGGCGCGAAAAUUACCCCAAUCUGUGGUCGGAGGAGGUAGUUACACAAAAUACCGACUCCGUACCCAAGAGACGGGUAUGGCUUGAGGAAUGUGAGCAACCCAAGCCCAUGCUCGGAACGCUACUGGAGGGCAAGCCUGGUGCCAGCAGCCGCGGUAAUUCCAGCUCCGGUAGCGUAUGAAAGGCCUGUUAAGGCUGAAAAGCUCGUCGUUGGGUCUGCGUGUGUAAAGUAAGGCAGGCGUUCCUUAUCGCGAACGCUCUGUCCGAAACUCACACUCGAUAACUAAUCUUUUGCCGUUGAUGCGUCUGGCGUCGGAUCGGCCCGGUCGAAAAAGGGUUCGGCCGUUGCUCCUAACCGAGUGACCCGUUCCCGUCAAUUUUCUUCCGCGGCUUCCACGUCUCGCAGGCAAAGAGCCGCCUUUGAGAAAAAGAGGUCGCUCAGGGCACGAGCCCAUACGUCCGCUAGCACUACCGUCUGCCUUGUACGGUAUAAUUUUGCUUAAUUCGACCGGCGUCGGUUCUUCCUCGCGGAGACCUUCGCUCGACAGUCGAGUUGCCCAGCAGACGGUGACGGAGAGCUGUGGAACCGUAUCUAGAGAGGUGAAAUUCAGAAACGGUGUCGUGGCCAGGCGCGGCGAAAGCGUCAGUCCAACACCCGUGUUCCGCUUCAGAACGAAAGUUUAAGGAUCAAAGGCGAUUAGAUACCGCCGUAGUUGUCACCGUAAACCAUGCCGACCGGUUAUUCGCAGACAGUUUACGGUUGAACACUGUGAGCGACCCGCCCGGGAAGCCAGAGUCUUGAGGCUCCUGGGGGAGUAUGGUCGCAAGGCUGAAACUUAAAGGAAUUGACGGAAUGACACCACCAGGAGUGGAGCCUGCGGCUUAAUUUGACUCAACGCGGGAAAACUUACCCGGCCUAGACACUGCAUACGAUUGACAGGCUGAUAGACCUUUCUCGAUGCGGUGGGUGGUGGUGCAUGGCCGUUCCUGGUUGGUGGAGUGAUCUGUCUGGUCAAUUCCGAUAACGAACGAGACUCUAGUCUGCUAACUAGCUCGCCGGAGGCUACGAUACGUACAAACGGCGCGGGGCGGGGAUUAACGUCUUUCGUCCCGUGCAAUAAAAAAUUUUCCAUCGACGCGAGGCAAUCGUCGGUUUGAGCGUCGGCGGGUGAAGGGAAAUUUUUUUCCCCUAGCUCGUCGUUCGGCUCUGCCGGCAACCUCCGUCAUCCGAGCGAGCUUCUUAGAGGGACAAACGGCCCCGAGCCGUAUGAGAUAGAGCAAUAACAGGUCUGUGAUGCCCUUAGAUGUUCGGGGCCGCACGCGUGCGACAAUGGUGGAGAGAGCGCGCCGAUUCUCAUCUCUGGUUCAAACGAACCCGGUAAAACGCUCAAUCUCCUCCGUACUUGGGACUGUGGCGUGGAAUUCCUCUCACGAACGAGGAAUUCCUAGUAGGCGCGAGUCAUCAUCUCGCGUCGACUACGUCCCUGUCCUUUGUACACACCGCCCGUCGCUACUACCGAUUGAAUGGUUUAGUGAGACCGUCGGACGGAUCGCACCCGUCUCCGGACGGAGGCAGGUCCGAAAGACGACCAAACUGUACCAUUUAGAGGAAGUAACAGUCGAGCAGUCU
rnacentral:rRNA from 1 species